rnacentral:rRNA from 1 species
GACGAACGCUGGCGGCGUGCUUAACACAUGCAAGUCGAACGGAAAGGCCCUGCUUUUGUUGGUUUCUCGUUUGGCGAACGGGUGAGUAACACGUGAGUAACCUGCCCUUGACUUUGUGAUAACUUCAGGAAACUGGGGCUCAUACCCCAUAUGAUCUCCUGCUGCAUGUUGUGGGUUGGAAAGUUUCGGCGGUUGUGGAUGGACUCGCGGCUUAUCAGCUUGUUGGUGGGGUAGUGACUUACCAAGGCUUUGACGGGUAGCCGGCCUGAGAGGGUUACCGGCGACAUUGGGACUGAGAGACGGCCCAGAAGGCUACGGGAGGCAGCAGUGGGGAAUAUGGCACAAUGGGCGGAAGCCUGAUGCAGAAACGCCGGGUGCGGGAUGACGGCCUUCGGGUGGUAAACAGAUGUCGAAUGUGAUGAAGAGAGAGUGACGGUAAUGGGUAAAGAAGCAACGGCUAACUACGUG